UUCAUUGAACUAUUUUUGCAGAAAGAGUCUCAUUUAUAUAUUGAUUUGGUGAGAUUGUGUUGGCUGUGAAAUUUUGUAUUGGAUGAGUUGUGGUGAAGAUUCAUCCUCCAAUGAUAUUUGAUAAAGUGAGCAUGAUGGAUGCUAUCAGUCUUAACAUUAGAGAUUAACAAGCUGUCAUAAAGAAUGAUAGGUGACAGAAAUCAAAUUGUUAUGCAGCUGGAUUUUCAGAUAAAUUUACUGAUUUGAUUCUUCAAUUUAUGGGAACUUCUGGUCAUCGACACAGACACAGACAAUUCCCAAAGGAAUGGUAGUAUAUGAUACCAAAUUGUUGGGACUGAUUCAGUAAAAGCAGAAAUAGGAAACCAGAGGAUGGUAGAAUAAAGCCAGAGAUGAAAUUGGUGAAGUAAGAGAGAGUAAAGAGGAACAGGUACGAUAUUCUUCACUGAUUAUUCUCUCAUGUCUGAAUACAAUAUUGUUUAUAUAGGUUUCCUCGUAGCUAAUUCUCUAACAUCUUAUUCCUUUUCUUUGAUAUAUGACUUGUUCAUAUUUUCUUAUUGUCAGAUUCUAUAUUAAUUUAUAGUUCAUACUUCAUGCACCUUUCUCUUUAUAAUUUUAACUAACAAUAUAGCUUAAGAUUUUUAAUUUCUAGCUUCACAAUGGUUUUCAGGCCUGUUACAACUGCAAUGAGAUCACCUGCUAAGCCCCAGCUAGCAAAUUCAACCUUGAACAGUCCUUUUGCAAGGAUAUCAAACUGCUGCACCAAAUCAAGCAAUGUAGAAAACUAAAAGCUCUUGUUUGCUGAACUGUUGAUGGAAUGUUUUUUUUGGUUUAUCAAAAUUUUCCCUAUGGUCAGAUAAUAAUGAAGCAGCAGCUAAUAUAUACCUGUGAUGUGAUAUCUUCAAAUUUUGAAUGUAAUUGUGCUUUUUACCUUUUUCUCAAAUGAAUUCUUGUAAGAAAAACAUUCGUGUUGUCAUUUUACUUCCAUGUGCUUGUCAGUUUGAUUCGUCAGCAGUUUAGUUCUAAGACAUUAUAUUAUAUUCUCCUAAAUAUCCUGUGUUGGAUAAUGGAGUUCAUGUGGUUUGCCUUGCAAUUUACUUUGAACAUUCAUAUAUAGAUUCCUAGUUCCUAGAUAUCUGUCUUGAUCUAUGAGAAAAGUUGAGUUGAUAUUGUCUGCCUAGCAAUUUACUUUGAACAUGUCUUAUUAAUAGUUUCCUAGUUCCUGGCUUAAUCUAAGAUGUCUUGAUCUAUGAGAACAGUUGCAUUGAUAUGGGCUGCUUUAAAAAAUUAGACGUUUGUAUUAGAUUGACCAUCUUUUAUUGAACAAUUUUUUUGCAGAAAGAGUUUCAGUUAUAUAUUUAUUAGGUGUGAUGGUGCUGUGAAAUUUUGUUUGGAUAAAUUUGUGGUGAAGAUUUCAUCUAACAAAGAUUUUGAUGA
rnacentral:lncRNA from 1 species